rnacentral:rRNA from 1 species
UGGGGAAUCUUAGACAAUGGGCGCAAGCCUGAUCUAGCCAUGCCGCGUGUGUGAUGAAGGCCUUAGGGUCGUAAAGCACUUUCGCCAGGGAUGAUAAUGACAGUACCUGGUAAAGAAACCCCGGCUAACUCCGUGCCAGCAGCCGCGGUAAUACGGAGGGGGUUAGCGUUGUUCGGAAUUACUGGGCGUAAAGCGUACGUAGGCGGAUCAGAAAGUAGGGGGUGAAAUCCCAGGGCUCAACCCUGGAACUGCCUCCUAAACUCCUGGUCUUGAGUUCGAGAGAGGUGAGUGGAAUUCCAAGUGUAGAGGUGAAAUUCGUAGAUAUUUGGAGGAACACCAGUGGCGAAGGCGGCUCACUGGCUCGAUACUGACGCUGAGGUACGAAAGUGUGGGGAGCAAACAGGAUUAGAUACCCUGGUAGUCCACACCGUAAACGAUGAAUGCCAGUCGUCGGGCAGUAUACUGUUCGGUGACACACCUAACGGAUUAAGCAUUCCGCCUGGGGAGUACGGUCGCAA